rnacentral:snRNA from 1 species
UCACUUACCUGGCGUAGGAAUUAGCACGAUCCGCAAGGUGCUUUUCCAUCCCGGAGUCGGCCCCAUUGCACUAGGGGUUUGAUGAAGGGUGCGAUAGUCGCUAAUGUCGAUUACUCGGGCGCAUGAUUUUUUCUCCGGGGGUUUUGCGUUCGCGCAUGCCCUUA